rnacentral:lncRNA from 1 species
CUCAUUUAUAUAAUUCAUUCAAUAGUAACAACAUCCAUACAUCAAAAAUUUAAUUAAAGUACUUAAAGUUCCAAACAAAAAAAACUAAAUAUCCCCUAGUAUGUGAUGUUGCUUCAUAAUCCUUAAUUAGUGCUAGCUAGACUCGGAAUGCCUGCCAUCUCUUGACUCUUCUUAUUCGGUUACCUGAAAAAACAUAAGAUUACGAUACUCAAAAAAAUGAACGGAGUUAUAGAUAUUGACUUAGUUCAUUGUAUAAUUCCACAAGAUAAUGGUUUCUUCAAACAUAAGAAAAUGCAUCUCUUUUCCAAGCACAUGAAAUAAAUGAACUCAAAACAGAAUAUGAGAGAGAGAGAGAGAGAGAGAGAGAGAGAGAGAUUGUAUAACAAAUAGUUACCAUACAAACACAAAUGAUUACAAUCUCAAAGUGACUCAAUAAUUAACAGCUCUAGGUCUAUAGCAGACUCACAAAUGACAACAAAUAAGGGCAACAACAUUAAGCUCCAUCAUGAUGUUAAAGGAAAAAAAUUAAGCUCCAUCAAAACAACGUACUCCUAGGCCUAAGACAUGAUUACAAUGCUACUGAAACGGUAGAGACAAACUGCAAUCAAUUAACUCUAAUACCUCUUUUCAAAAAGCAAUUUUUUUUGUAAGCACAAGUAGUGUCUCGUAAAAUAAAAACAAGACAAGAUAAAAAAAAUGGACAUCAAUACAAUAAUAGAUUAGCAGUGCACUCAUAACAGAAAAACAAGACAACAAUACUAAGCCUAAAAAUUGGUCAGCAAUACAUACAUGCAAUAGCAGUGCACUCAUACAUUAUCUUCAUUUAGCAUAUAAAUCAACCAAAGCAAUCCUUAUGAUGCAUUUAGUACCUACACCAUGCUAGUAAGUCCCUUAACGCAUUUAAUACUUAAUUAAGAUUUAUCUACAAAUCGUACUUCCAUACACUUCACAUGUAACACAAUUCAAUAUUUUUCAGUCAACAACAACGUUUCAAGUGAGAUAUGAGAUAAGAAAAUUUCAGCAUUGCACUUACAUUUUUUCCUUAGCCACUUCAUUACCGCCGUCCAACUUCAUCCACAAGAGUUGCAAUUGCACCAUUAGCCAACUUUUCAGUGUUUUCUUGUAAGAGAAAUAAAGGCAACACAUCUUACACACACUACAAAGAUGAUUAUAGUAUUAGUAAUACACAUAUAGAAACAAACAAAAAAUUACAUCACACUAGAACCAAAACCAUCGAAACAAAACCUCAGAAAAACAAGAAGCCCAAGUGAAUGGGUGAAUACUCAUGUAAAAAAAGUUAUGAACAAGUUAUUUCUACAAUUGAAGAUAGAGUGAAGGUUUUAAAAAAAUUCUCAAUGAAUAUCAUUAUUUAGAUGAAGUAAAUAAAUAUUUCAGCACAGUCAACUAAUAUUUCAUCUACUAUUAACUAUCUCAGUAGACUAUAGUGUAUAGAACAAAUUAUGAAUGAUUUUCAUCUUGAUACCUUGACAUGAUCCAAUUUCUACAACGACAUUAAACAUUGGAAAGCCAUAUAAUCAACAGACCUGUGUUAAAGAAUGCAUUUGCAUCUUACAUGUUGCAUUUUUUUGGUCUAGCUAAGAAAUGUGUACAUACUGAUAUUUAAAAUCAAACCUUUGCCCAUAAGAAGACUUGCAAGUUGAUCAAUAAUUUUGUAUUUAGGCGCUUCCCAAUAGUGAGAGUACUAGUCUUGCCAAAAAAUGCAAUUUACCUACAACAAGGCAGUCAAAAAGAUAUUCAAAUGCAAAUCUAAAUACACAUAAAAGUAAAGCCAUGAAUGCAUUUGUAGAUAAUUUUGAUAUGCUGCAACAAGCAGAGACAUGCUACAGCCAUCAACAUCCAACAAGUAGAAAUGCUCUUUUGAUUACUCUAUAGCCUAUAUGUAAUUCUCUCCAAACAAAACAAGUAUGACGUAAUUCUCUAAUAGUUCAAAAAUAAAGGUGCAUAUUGCAUAAUUAUGAUGGUACAUGGUUUUUUAAAUGCUACAGCCAUUUAAGGAAUGAUAAAAUCAAUCAUUAAUUUAGAUUCAUACUAAAGAAAAUUUAUGUCCCGUCACACAACAAACGCCUUGCACAUGCUUAAAACAUCUCAAACAAUAACAAGAAAACCAGAACAGUGUAAGACAAGACAGUGCAAACCAAAUCACUGAUUAAUUGAAUAUCGAGCACACCUUUUCAGGAUCUCCACCGCCUUCAAACAUGUAU